UUAAGGGGUUUGGUGUUAAAAGGGUAGUGAGAGAGAGUGGGAAGCAAAGAGAAUUGAAGUGUGGGAAGUAGAAAGAAAAGAGUUUUGGAGUUAAGGAAGUGGGAAAGGAGAAGAAAUUGGAUGAAUGGGAUUUGUGUAAGGGAAAUAUAGGGUUUGAAGGGGGAGAUUUCUUUCAUUUCCUCAACCCUUAAAAUUAGAUGGAGAUACUUGAGAAUUUUUUAGUGUUUAUUCUCACAUUUACAAGGGAGACUUAUUCUUCCCAUGCUUUUACUUACCAGCACAAUUUGAAAAGAAUACCUAUUUAAUGGGAGGACCAACAUUUCUUGGCAAGCGGACCCUGAUUGGAAGAGGCAUUGAAAGCUGCUCUGUUGGUAGCUGACACCGACGC